CUUCGCGGAACAAGUCUGCAGCAGGUAGACUGGCGGAGAGUAGGGGAGGGCGGGCAAGAUUUGCCCCGCACCUCUCGCCUCUAUAAAGGCAUUGCUGCUAACGAAGACCCGAAGCAACAGGAGGAAGACAUAAAGGCCUUUGCCGAUGCACUGAAAGAAAUUAAUGGUAUGCAGGAGUUCGCCAGCUUCCUCGACGCUGCAGACAGCUCAGACGUCACUGAAACAAAAUUUGGGACACGUUUAAAGGGCUGCCUUCUCGACUACCAACAGUCUGUGGUUCCUCAUGGAUUUGCAGUCUUCAUAUCCAAAGAGCUAGAAGUGCCUCGGCCGCAAAUAUGGGCAAGUGCGGAGCUGUUUACGGGCGCUUUCACUGUUCCACAAUGGAAAAUACCCGACACGUUUGAUGGAGCAUCUGCAGCAUUUCUUAAGAGUAUAUGCAUCACCCCAGCGGAGGCGCAGGACCUAGAAAGGACGUCUAGGAGGCAACGAAACAGCCUAACAUGGCAUCAAGGACGCCUUCACCGCCUUACUGCAUCCAACUUCGGUUUGGUCCUGAACCGGAAGAAGUGGACAAAGAAAGGCUUGAUUAACCUGACGACUCCGAAGGACCUGUCACGCGUUCAGCCCGUCAGGUACGGCAUAGCCAACGAGAAAGACGCCCUCCUGAGGUACAAGGAUACCUUGACAACUGCGGGACAUCCUGUUGAAGUAUUCAACUGUGGCCUUUUUGUCGACCCGUCCAGGCCAUGGCUUGGAGCAUCGCCUGACGCCCUAACCUUUGACCCUUGUGAACCUUUUCCAUGGGGUACAGUAGAGGUGAAAUGCCCA